rnacentral:rRNA from 1 species
UACGUAGGGGGCAAGCGUUGUCCGGAUUUAUUGGGCGUAAAGAGCGUGUAGGCGGCCAGGUAGGUCCGUUGUGAAAACUGGAGGCUUAACCUCCAGCUGUCGAUGGAAACCAUCUGGCUAGAGUCCGGAAGAGGAGAGUGGAAUUCCUGGUGUAGCGGUGAAAUGCGCAGAUAUCAGGAGGAACACCGGUGGCGAAGGCGGUGAUCUGGGCCGACACUGACGCUGUAGAGCGAAAGCGUGGGGAGCGAACAGG